UUCUUUCUUUGGAUUAACCAGCAAGUGGACAUUGACUGUGCGACUUGAACUAUUUGUAGUUGCCAAGUCGAAUAGAGAUAGAUCCAACCAGUAUGCUGCCAACCAUAACGAUGAUUUCAUUGAAUCAGAAUCUGACAGAUAGAUGCUUCUUAUGAAGGAAGCAGGAUGAGGAGUUGGAUGAGCUUAGUUUAAGUGUAUUUGUGAUGGCUUUUUCUUCUCUGAUUCAAUACUAGGAGCCUAAGUGGCAAGCCCAGGAAAAGAUUAUAGAUGAACUGGGUAAUUAGAUGGACAGUACAUCCAAUCAUUUAGAUUUUGUACAAAAAAAAGUGGCAAUGGUGAUGGAGAAGGCUAAUGCAAAGGGUCAGAUCAUGAACUGUUUAUUUUUCUCUUCAUCUUGGUAUUCUUCACCUAAACUCAUUUGAGAUUGGUCCUUGUUUGUACAUGAAAAGAGAGAUACCUCAGUUUUUGCGAGAAGAUACAAGAUUGUUGGACAUGUUUUGGUGUCUAUUAAUCAAAUGGAAGCUAUUUUGGUAUUUCAAGGCAGUAGAAUUUUAUGGUUAUGAUGAUAAAGGGAAAAUAUAAGGAUUUAAAUUCUCUGAACAAG